ACUGCCUGUUCGACGUGUUCGGGUGUUUUUAGUGGAAUAUUGCAGUAGAUUUUGUCUUCCUGCGGAUAUGUUCAGAUUACUUGUUAUAAUUUUGUAAUUAUAUAAUAUUUUUCUAGUGUUCUACCUCGAGGUGAAUUUGACUAUAUAUGUUUUAGUUUUGUGGGCCCGUUGUUGUAGUCCAUUGAAGUUCCAAGCUGCUAUUUUCAACGUGUCCAUUUCUAUUCUUUACUGAACAUAUUUUCAAGAAUUACGAGGUGGAUCUUUCACGCCGAUUGAAAACUGCAGCCCAUGAAAUAG